GCGAGGUGGUGCUAAUCGUAGAAAGUUCUUCGUAGUCCGGAUUGGAGUCUGCAACUCGACUCCAUGAGGUCGGAAUCGCUAGUAAUCGCGAAUCAGCAUGUCGCGGUGAAUACGUUCUCGGGUCUUGUACACACCGCCCGUCACACCAUGGAAGUGGAUUGCACCAGAAGUAGAUAGUCUAACCUUCGGGAGGGCGUUUACCACGGUGUGCUUCAUGACUGGGUGAAGUCGUAACAAGGUAGCCGUAGGGGAACCUGUGGCUGGAUCACCUCCUU
rnacentral:rRNA from 1 species